rnacentral:rRNA from 1 species
AUGGCGGAGGAAGCACUGACGGUUACAAUGGACAAGCUUGCGGACAUCAUGGCCGUGAAGAUGGUGGCUGCCGAUGAGAAGGCACCUGCUGAUGUGGGCUCGAGCGCUGUGCAUGCAGAGAUGGUGCAGAAGAUUGAGCUGGCUCCAAACAAGGUGAAGUUAGAAGGUGUAGAGAACUACCUGAGGUGGUCGAGGAGAGGUAAACUCAUCCUCAGAACGAAGUCACUGGAAGACUAUGCUCUUGGUGAGGUGAAGGAACCAGAAGACAAGAGGGGAGCUUUAUGGAAGAAAUGGAAUGCCACAGACAGUUUGGUGUUCAAUUGGCUGUUGAGUUCUCUAUCCCCUUCUGUUGCUGCUUCGGUCGAGGACCUCCCUACUGCUGUUGAGGUAUGGGCAGCGUUAGCUAGUAUGUACUCAGGGAAGGGAACUGUCAUGUUGGUCUCCAAAAUUGAAGACACUGUGCAUGAUCUCACUCAAGGUGAUAGGACUGUAAUGAUGUAUGUUGAAGAGCUGAAACAUCUUUGGGCUGAUUUAGACUAUCUUGCACCUCUUGUGUUGCCACAUGCUGAGUGUGCAGUGAUAGCUAGAAAGUGGGUUGAGGAUAGGCGUGUCCUUAAGUUUCUGAAGGGGUUGGACUCCAUGUUUGAGAAUAGAAGGGCUAUCUUAGUGCAAUAA